rnacentral:rRNA from 1 species
CAGUAGCCGCGGUAAUACGAAGGGUGCAAGCGUUACUCGGAAUUACUGGGCGUAAAGCGUGCGUAGGUGGUGGUUUAAGUCCGUUGUGAAAGCCCUGGGCUCAACCUGGGAAUUGCAGUGGAUACUGGGUCACUAGAGUGUGGUAGAGGAUAGUGGAAUUUCCGGUGUAGCAGUGAAUGCGUAGAGAUCGGAAGGAACAUCUGUGGCGAAGGCGACUAUCUGGGCCAACACUGACACUGAGGCACGAAAGCGUGGGGAGCAAACAGGAUUAGAUACCCGGGUAGUCCCUGUCUCUUAUACA